CAGUAGCCACGGUAAUACAGAGGAUGCAAGCGUUAUCCGGAAUGAUUGGGCGUAAAGGGCUCGCAGGCGGUUUCUUAAGUCUGAUGUGAAAGCCCCCGGCUCAACCGGGGAGGGUCAUUGAAAACUGGGAAACUUGAGUGCAGAAGAGGAGAGUGGAAUUCCACGUGUAGCGGUGAAAUGCGUAGAGAUGUGGAGGAACACCAGUGGCGAAGGCGACUCUCUGGUCUGUAACUGACGCUGAGGAGCGAAAGCGUGGGGAGCGAACAGGAUUAGAUACCCCCGUAGUCCCUGUCUCUUAUAC
rnacentral:rRNA from 1 species